CUUUCCGUUCCUUUUCCCUUUCUUUCGAUGAAGCCCUCACCACUAGCUCCACCCCUGAUGUGUCACCUCAACGCUUCCAUUAGUCACAGAAUUAAUCUAAAUGUCCAGGAUAGAGAUUCACAGAAUAGUGCCAGAAUAGAGAUGAAGCUGGGUCCCACACGUGUAUAAAAAAUUGGCAACAAAAUUGCGGGCCCACAUGAUUGUGUCUUUCCUAUAAGGAUUCUGUAAGCCAAGCAAAACUCUGGCGUCCACUUUGUAUCAUUGGCCGACGUUAACAUUCGCCACCUUAACUUAACAUCUCAAUCGACGUCCUUCGCAUCCUACGACAUUUCUAAUGAUUCCACUGCCGGAUCAUCGUCAAUUUGGGCAGCGAUGCUAUGAGUUCCUUGACCACUUCCCUCAUGAUGGGCCAUUAUUUUUGAAAAUAUGUUGAGAAUCUACCAAUGGGAUACCUAAUAGUCAUAUCGGCGCAAAGAUUUGCUAGGGUUGAAUGUAAACAUACUUGGGGCUACUCAAAAGCCCUCAGGAAUUGAGUUGAUGUUCUCACAUCCAUCGCAUGAGUAGUUGAAGCAAGUGAAUAAUUUGAAAUUUGAGUUAUUUCAUGGAUAUAUUGAACUUAUAAUAGUACCUCAAAAUUCACUUAGACUUGCACAUGGAAUGUUGUGUAGCCCUGUAAGGAUUUUGAUGGUAAAAAGGUAAAGAAGAAAAUGUGUGUUAUAAUGAAGUUGUCGUUGUAAGAGAUGACAUUUUCCUGAUUGUUACAAGUUUUUCUACAAUUAUUGUUUUAUAUUUGUAAGUUGUCAUUCCAAUUUUUAAGCAACCAUCAACAAGAAAAUGGAGGGAGGCAGAGAUCCUUUCUCUGGUUUUGGUAACGCUUUCGGUUGUUUCAGUGGCUUUGGUGGCCAAAGAAGCUUAAUGUCAAGGGUUUUUUUUGUUUGUUUGUUUUUUGUUUU